AAAGGAUUUUAGAUGCGUUGAUUUAAUUAAGAAAGUGAGAGAAGGGCUAUUAGUAACUACUAGAAUUCCUUUGCCCUCUCUUAUUGGUUUUGUUUUACACAGAGAACAUUAAUAGUCAGUCUUAACCAGCUUCAGAUCAAGGGCAGGGUAAUUGUACAGCUACUAUUUACUGCGGCUUAAAGAAGUGAAUCUCUAUUCCCAUAGUCACAAUAGUCCAUAUUGCUCCAGCGAACACCAGAAGGCUGAGUAGCAUUCCAAAGAGCCCUAAUAUCCAGUUCAAGCACCAGAUUGCACCAUAUUUAUAGGGUUUCUUAAUGAUAAUCCACAUAAAACAUGGAUAUGCUAAGGUAACAGGUAGAGCUAUCCCUCCAAUCAAUCCUGCCAAGCUAGGCAAGAAUGGAAAUGCCACUGCUAUAAAGAAUGCCAAACAGCCAAAGAAGACCCUAAACCCACAGCGAAGCCACCUUGGGCACGGCUUAUUCAUUUUGCUGGUGU
rnacentral:misc_RNA from 1 species